rnacentral:rRNA from 1 species
UACGAAGGGGGCUAGCGUUGCUCGGAAUCACUGGGCGUAAAGCGCACGUAGGCGGACUUUUAAGUCGGAGGUGAAAUCCUGGAGCUCAACUCCAGAACUGCCUUCGAUACUGAGAGUCUUCGAGUUCGGGAGAGGUGAGUGGAACUGCGGGUGUAGAGGUGAAAUUCGUAGAUAUUCGCAAGAACACCAGUGGCGAAGGCGGCUCACUGGCCCGAUACUGACGCUGAGGUGCGAAAGCGUGGGGAGCAAACAGG